AGAUGUGAGGGUGAUCUGGCUGUGACAUCUGUCACCCCACUGAUCGCCAGGGUUGAUUCAGCUGAUCUGGCUGGCGAGGCGGGUGUCCCCUUCCUUCCUCACCACUCCAUGUGUGUCCCUCCCAAAGCUGAGUGCUCCAUCGAGGUGGACGACCUUCCCCGAUAGAGGAGGACCGUUCUUUGGUCAAGGGUAUACGAGUAGCUGCACUCCCCUGCUAGAACCUCCAAACAAGUUCUCAAGGUUCACCUGGAGGAGAACGUAGGGUAGCCAAGCUUCUAAGACUCCAGACACAUCCAAAUGAGGCGUUGCAUGUGGCAAUUUGCCUUUGUUU
ensembl:misc_RNA 7SK 7SK RNA